UGCUAGGCCCAGGAUAUUCAGCGUUGCCCCCACUCAGGCCGAGAUAUUUGCCCCCACUGCUUUGUUUUCUGUUGUAUUUUUAAAGCCCAUGUAUGAGAAAUAGAUUGCUUAUUGGCCCAGCUACCCAUCUAGCGAGAAUGACGAGCAGGCAAGCAGGCCUCAUGCGUGCGUGUAUGUGAUGGUUCUCAAUUCGCUAGAAACCUAGUCUUCACGAGAGCCCCCGCGCCGCCGCCUGCGGCUCUACUGCCCUGUAGAUACACGAUUAUACGACUCCCCUCCGCCGAUAGCGAUUAUCUGCCGUCCACGCACUGCACACACCGGCCGGCCGUCUUGCCAAAGAAGCUCUACUGAUCAAUACCAAGGCAAGCUAAUGGAGAGAUGUUUUGUAAAAUCGACAACUGCAGUAUACCUGAAAUAGUUGAUCUAAAUAGCUUACACGGGAUCCAUCCAAAAAGAAGAGACUUACAUAUUUAAUAUCAACAAUCAUGGGGAGAUUAGGAGAAAUUACCUUACAUGGGAAAAAUCGUCGCGCGAUGAAACGGAAGGGGCUCUAAGGCUAGAAAUCAGGGAUGUAGCAACAAAAAGGAAUGCCGUAUUCAUAUUUCUCAAGCUAUUGUGCCUUCAGUGGUUAGUUUACUUUUCUUUGGCAAUGACUGUGUCAUAAUUAUGU